rnacentral:rRNA from 1 species
AGCCAUCAUUUAAAGAAAGCGUAAUAGCUCACUGGUCGAGUCGGCCUGCGCGGAAGAUGUAACGGGGCUAAACCAUGCACCGAAGCUGCGGCAGCGACGCUUAUGCGUUGUUGGGUAGGGGAGCGUUCUGUAAGCCUGUGAAGGUGUGCUGUGAGGCAUGCUGGAGGUAUCAGAAGUGCGAAUGCUGACAUAAGUAACGAUAAAGCGGGUGAAAAGCCCGCUCGCCGGAAGACCAAGGGUUCCUGUCCAACGUUAAUCGGGGCAGGGUGAGUCGACCCCUAAGGCGAGGCCGAAAGGCGUAGUC